rnacentral:rRNA from 1 species
CACGUAGGGCGCGAGCGUUGUCCGGAAUUAUUGGGCGUAAAGAGCUCGUAGGCGGCCUGUUGCGUCCGCUGUGAAAGCCCGGGGCUUAACCCCGGGUCGGCAGUGGAUACGGGCAGGCUAGAGGUAGGUAGGGGAGAAUGGAAUUCCCGGUGUAGCGGUGAAAUGCGCAGAUAUCGGGAGGAACACCGGUGGCGAAGGCGGUUCUCUGGGCCUUACCUGACGCUGAGGCGCGAAAGCUAGGGGAGCAAACGGG